rnacentral:rRNA from 1 species
AUGAACGCUGGCGGCGUGCCUAAUACAUGCAAGUCGAGCGAACGGACGAGAAGCUUGCUUCUCUGAUGUUAGCGGCGGACGGGUGAGUAACACGUGGAUAACCUACCUAUAAGACUGGGAUAACUUCGGGAAACCGGAGCUAAUACCGGAUGAUAUUUUGAACCGCAUGGUUCAAAAGUGAAAGACGGUCUUGCUGUCACUUAUAGAUGGAUCCGCGCUGCAUUAGCUAGUUGGUAAGGUAACGGCUUACCAAGGCAACGAUGCAUAGCCGACCUGAGAGGGUGAUCGGCCACACUGGAACUGAGACACGGUCCAGACUCCUACGGGAGGCAGCAGUAGGGAAUCUUCCGCAAUGGGCGAAAGCCUGACGGAGCAACGCCGCGUGAGUGAUGAAGGUCUUCGGAUCGUAAAACUCUGUUAUUAGGGAAGAACAUAUGUGUAAGUAACUGUGCACAUCUUGACGGUACCUAAUCAGAAAUCCACGGCUAACUACGUG